UGGUACUGUCGGACGAAGGAGAAUGGCAGGCUGCAUUCUCACCUCAUGCAACUUCACCAUCCAUCUUCUGACGGUUUCUCAGUGGAAAUUUUCCACAAUUAUGGUGGUUAUAGUGAGUAUAUGAUCCCCAAACAUGGAUCAUGUUAAUUGAGCAAUUGCCACAACAGGGGAUCCUCAUCUCACGGAGUCAUAAUGUGUGUAAUUCAAAAGCACUACAGCGGAAUGAAAUUAACCUGAAAACACUCUGGUGGAAUGUACAUUCUGUUUUUGUUUUCAUCCCGGAUCUAAACGAUGGAUGGUAGGAGUAAGACUACUGUUCUUCAGCCGAUAGCGCAUUGAACAGCAACUCUGGAGCUUUGCUGAAUGGAAUACAAUAUCCGAAUGAUACUGUUAGACCAACGAAACUGGUCGGUUAAAUAAUGUGCAAGAUAUUUCUGGGUCCCGUAGCAAAAGGCUAGCGGUUAAUCGCAAAAUGAAAUGGCCUAUCAAGAUCAUCGUUGCUUGUGCAUUUUUUCAGUACGCUGACUAGGAACCAAUCAGAAUUGUUCUUUCAAAUUAGUCAAUCUCGUAACUGUGACAAGGUUAACCUUCCAAAAUAUAGUAUUCGAGGAAUAUACCUAUGGAACAGGUGUCAAAUUUAUGUAGAUAAACAGAUAACUCUGUCCUCCCAAAACGGUUUGAAUGAUAGUUGUCUUCUUCAGGGGGUGGUAUACAGAACAGUAUUCAAUAAAAAAAAGAUGGGUCGAGUAAGUGCACUAGUUAUUUAUUGCUGCAACUUAUUUCAUUGGACAAACAUUACUUGAAGAUGUAUGAAGAAAUUAAACAAAUAUAAAUUAAUUUAAUAACAUAAGAAAAGGGAAUGUGUAACAUCAUCAGCCCACGUAAUGAAUAUUUAUGAGGACAUGCAUAUAAUUAUUUUCACAAAAUAUUGCUAAACUUCAAAAUUCAAUAGCUUCAUUAUUUUUUUUCCAAUUUUUAUGAAAGCUUCAGCAUUUUGCUUUGUGAAUUGUACUCUUUUCAUUAGAUUUAAAUAUUAUCAGCCCUCUGGAACUUGUGCAAAAAAGCCCCUCAUUCAUUCUUGGGGGAAAUUUUCAUGUAACCUAUAUAACAUGAAUGUUGUUUAAUGAGCUCUCGGAUUCAAUAUGAUAUCAAAACAAUUAUUACAUUCUUUGACCGAAUGUAACAUUGAUAAUUAGGGCAACGGGCAACUCUAUUACGGGUAAAAGAAAGCAUGAUAAGAUUGGAUGUGACCCAAAUCACAGACCAAUCUGGGGCUAAACGAACGGACUGAUUUCAAAGUCAAAGGUGCUCGCCAACAUCAAGUGCGUGUGUGUGUUUCUCUUGACCUUUACUAUUAUUAAUGCGAACUAAGCCUUAUUAUUUUUUUUCCAUUUCCGUUUAAUUUCUGACAUCAACAUUUCAAAUUUUUUCAUUAGAAAUAACGUUUAUCCAGUUACAAACUAAAUCAGCGGGUUGCCAUAUAUUUUACUUGUAUAUUUUCUUCCUCCGGUCUUCGGAGAUCGGUGGCAAGCCGCAGAUUUCAGGUCCUUUCUUGAUGGUGCUGUCAACAUAGGUGGAUUUUUAAGAUUUAUCUUAGGCAGUGAAAUGUCAGAGAAGAAUUUUAGGAUGUGUGCAGGCAAGUCAAGGUUCUCAACAUGCUCUAGUAUGUCCAGACGCUGCGUCAAUUAUUAUAAUCUAUAUAAACACACACAGUAAACGUAUAUUUGUAGCCGGAGGGGUCGUAGAAGUAGUAGAAGCAGCAGCAGCAGUGGUGGUAUCAGUAGUUGUAGUACUAGCAGCAGCAGCAGCAGCAGUAGUGGCAGUAGUAGUACUAAUGGACUACAUCUACUACUACCACAACUCGUAGUAGUAUUAGUAGUUGCUGCAGUAGUUUUAGUAGUAUCAGCAGAAAUUGAUGUAACAGUGCUUUAAUAGUUUUAAUUACUGAUCAGAUAAGCCUUAAGCUGAAUGGCAUUUAGUUCAUUCUCUAAACUCCUUAGAUUUAAGUAGUUUGCAGCUAGUUACCAAAUCAAAGUUAGACUGAAAUUGUUAAUCUGAUGAUAUAGAUUUAUAAUUCAAUUUUAUAUGAUUGAAACUUUUUCAUAUAAUUUUGGAUUGGUCCCUGCCCACAGUCUAUUACAUUAACUUUCAAUCUACGGAUGUUAAGAGAGUGCGCAAGAUGUAUAAUUGUAAUCGAUGAUAUAGACCCUAAUUGACAAGAUCAAUAAAUUAUGACUGAUAUAUAUUAAGGAUGGUAAUCGCAGAGCAGGAAUACCUACAUUCUAUUUCGUAUGCAAAUUUAGAGAAACGAUGACGUCAUCCACUCUAUUUAAUUCAUCCCGAUUAGUGUAUUUCAUUUUUUCUUGUCCAUACUGCUCAUUAGUUAUUCUUGCCAAAUGAGAAAAGAAGCCAAACUUCCUAAAACUAUCAUGGUGCAAUUUGUAAAUACUUUAAAAUUAAUCGCCGAAUAUCAAUGUACAGAAAGUAGUAUAGGACAACUAUAAGCAAUUGUAGUGAUAAGAAAUAAAAAUUUAUAAGCAGUUAGAAAGGCCCACUUUCGAAAUAAGUAUUAUGUAAUUAUACUAUUUAUUCAUAUAUUUUAUGAAAAUUAAGUACUUUUUUUUCUCUCUCUUAUACAUCGAUAGAGUAAACGAAUCUUAUAGUACUGUAUAUAAUGUUUGUCUAUUAUUUAAAGUUGAAUCAGAUAGUGCGAUAACAUAGAGAAGAAUAUGCCUAUAUCACCUUGAUCACAAACACUGUUAUUUAACACAGAUUGUACAAACAUACUAAACUAUUAAAUAUGUAUAUUUACAUAGACAUGCUUUGAAAUUGUCGCAAGAUGUGCCCAAUAAUAUCCGUAAUGGUUAACUUACGAAAAUGAUUUAAAAAAUUAAUAAUAUCAGAAUAUAAAAGAUAUUAGAGUAUAGAAAGUAAUAUAUUUCAAAAAAUAUAAUGUAAUAUUUUCAAAGAAUGAAAUGGUGAAUAAACAUAACAAUAAAUGUUCCUUGCGUAGACUUCUAUACUACCGCUUUUAGACAUGUAUUUUGGCUUCCAGUGAAAGUUUGUUGACCUUUUGACCUUUUCCUGACCUUGUCUUGACGUUUUAUAUCAUCUGGAUAAGGACUUCUGAUGAAAGACUGAUCAAAAUCAAAAAUAAAAAAGUACACACAUGCAUAAAAACACGGAAAAAAUGAGCUUUCUUCACACCGUCAGUGUAAUUUGCCAUUUAAUGAAAGUUUGUUGACCUUUUGACAUUUCCGGUCAUAACUUUGUAACGAGAGGUCAAGAGUAUAUGAUUGUGUACACUUUUUUGUUCAGUAUAAAAAGACAAACAAUUUGACAAUUGGGAAACAACUGGGACAAUUAAAAAAAUUGACCCUUAUUGACCCAAUUUUGACCACUAACAUGGUCAAGAUGACCAUUAUAAAUUUAUCAUCAAGUUGAAAGUUGUUUCUUGUGAUGUAACCAGUCACAUAAAAGUGAAAAAUCAGACUUAGCCAAUUUGUCGAAGUAAAUGACAUAUGCUGUCUGACUAUUAUUUCGUUCUGGAAAAAAAGCUUAAAAUCCUAUUAAAAAAAGUAAAUUGCAGUAAUGUUGUACCUUUGAGACAACGUAAAAAUUGUUAUAUUCUGUCAUUUGUAAGAUGUCAUUAUCUUUGGUUUAGUUAUAUGACAUGAGCUAGUGUUUUCAUCAUUCAGAUAUUUCACAAAUUGUAUCAUUAAGUUUUCUUCCAGCUACAGAGUGUUUUGUUUUGACUGAAGUGGUAUCACACUUAUCACUUUCUUGAAAUCCUUCGUGCAGGGAAAUCGAUCCAUGACUCGGAUGUUAAGGGGGCAUGAUAACAAAAAAUGUCAACAUUUCGAUUUUAUAACCAAUACAUUUGCACGCGUCGUGUAUUGAUAAGCUGUGUAGGAAAUAAUUCAACGUAUCAGUAAUUUAUGCACGAAAGGGUGCAGAGUGCAAUGAAUCCAUUUUUACGACGGAUACAAAAUUUAAUAAAAACAUACACUUCAAAGUAAAA